GACGUAGGGCGCGAGCGUUGUCCGGAUUUAUUGGGCGUAAAGAGCUCGUAGGCGGUCUGUCGCGUCUGCUGUGAAAACUCAGGGCUUAACCCUGAGCUUGCAGUGGGUACGGGCAGACUAGAGUGCGGUAGGGGAGACUGGAAUUCCUGGUGUAGCGGUGAAAUGCGCAGAUAUCAGGAGGAACACCGAUGGCGAAGGCAGCUCGCUGGGACGGUACUGACGCUGAGGCGCGAAAGCGUGGGGAGCAAACAGG
rnacentral:rRNA from 1 species